UACAGAGGGUGCGAGCGUUAAUCGGAAUUACUGGGCGUAAAGCGCGCGUAGGCGGCUUGGUCAGUCGGAUGUGAAAGCCCCGGGCUUAACCUGGGAAUUGCAUUCGAUACUGCCUGGCUAGAAUGUAGUAGAGGGAAGUGGAAUUCCAGGUGUAGCGGUGAAAUGCGUAGAUAUCUGGAGGAACAUCAGUGGCGAAGGCGACUUCCUGGACUAACAUUGACGCUGAGGUGCGAAAGCGUGGGGAGCAAACAGG
rnacentral:rRNA from 1 species